rnacentral:rRNA from 1 species
AGUGAACGCUGGCGGUAGGCCUAACACAUGCAAGUCGAACGGCAGCACAGGAGAGCUUGCUCUCUGGGUGGCGAGUGGCGGACGGGUGAGGAAUACAUCGGAAUCUACCUUUUCGUGGGGGAUAACGUAGGGAAACUUACGCUAAUACCGCAUACGACCUACGGGUGAAAGUGGGGGACCGCAAGGCCUCACGCGAUUAGAUGAGCCGAUGUCCGAUUAGCUAGUUGGCGGGGUAAUGGCCCACCAAGGCGACGAUCGGUCGCUGGUCUGAGAGGAUGAUCAGCCACACUGGAACUGAGACUCGGUCCAGACUCCUACGGGAGGCAGCAGUGGGGAAUAUUGGACAAUGGGCGCAAGCCUGAUCCAGCCAUACCGCGUGGGUGAAGAAGGCCUUCGGGUUGUAAAGCCCUUUUGUUGGGAAAGAAAUCCAGCUGGCUAAUACCCGGUUGGGAUGACGGUACCCAAAGAAUAAGCACCGGCUAACUUCGUGCCAGCCGCCGCCGUAAGAC